UAAUUUGGUUGCCAUUGUGUCUUACUUUUGAUGUUUAACAUUUAUAUUUUGAUAUUGGGUUGGUGUGCUACUGAAUGGCCACCUAAUCAUGCCUAUGUGCAUUUGGAUAGUCCAUUUUAUAAAUGAAACUCUGGCAAAAAAAUUUCACGAGUCUGGGCAUUUAAUGUACAUGCAAAUUUAACUCUACUAGAGAAGUAUGUUAAACUAAUACAUA
rnacentral:lncRNA from 1 species